rnacentral:rRNA from 1 species
UACAGAGGUCUCAAGCGUUGUUCGGAUUCAUUGGGCGUAAAGGGUGCGUAGGCGGCGCGGUAAGUCGGGUGUGAAAUCUCGGGGCUUAACUCCGAAACUGCAUUCGAUACUGCCGUGCUUGAGGACUGGAGAGGAGACUGGAAUUUACGGUGUAGCGGUGAAAUGCGUAGAUAUCGUAAGGAAGACCAGUGGCGAAGGCGGGUCUCUGGACAGUUCCUGACGCUGAGGCACGAAGGCGUGGGGAGCAAACGGG